rnacentral:rRNA from 1 species
UGCUAGUCGCACGAGCUUAGACUCGUGGCAUAUAGCUCAGUAACACGUGGCCAAACUACCCUACAGACCGCAAUAACCUCGGGAAACUGAGGCCAAUAGCGGAUAUAACUCUCAGACUGGAGUGCCGAGAGUUAGAAACGUUCCGGCGCUGUAGGAUGUGGCUGCGGCCGAUUAGGUAGAUGGUGGGGUAACGGCCCACCAUGCCGAUAAUCGGUACGGGUUGUGAGAGCAAGAACCCGGAGACGGUAUCUGAGACAAGAUACCGGGCCCUACGGGGCGCAGCAGGCGCGAAACCUUUACACUGCACGACAGUGCGAUAGGGGGACUCCGAGUGUGAGGGCAUAUAGCCCUCGCUUUUCUGUACCGUAAGGUGGUACAGGAACAAGGACUGGGCAAGACCGGUGCCAGCCGCCGCGGUAAUACCGGCAGUCCAAGUGAUGGCCGAUAUUAUUGGGCCUAAAGCGUCCGUAGCCGGCCGGACAAGUCCGUUGGGAAAUCGACGCGCUCAACGCGUCGGCGUCCAGCGGAAACUGUCCGGCUUGGGGCCGGAAGACUCGACGGGUACGUCCGGGGUAGGAGUGAAAUCCUGUAAUCCUGGACGGACCACCAAUGGG